AUUGAACGCUGGCGGCGUGCCUAACACAUGCAAGUCGAGCGGUAACAGGUGUAGCAAUACAUGCUGACGAGCGGCGAACGGGUGAGUAAUGCUUCGGAAUCUGCCCAUGUAGUGGGGAAUAACCAGCCGAAAGGUUGGCUAAUACCGCAUACGACCUACGGGUGAAAGCAGGGGAUCGCAAGACCUUGCGCUAUUGGAUGAGCCGAAGUCGGAUUAGCAGUUGGUAGGGUAACGGCCUACCAAGGCGACGAUCCGUAGCUGGUCUGAGAGGACGACCAGCCACACUGGGACUGAGACACGGCCCAGACUCCUACGGGAGGCAGCAGUGGGG
rnacentral:rRNA from 1 species